UAUGAAGAACGCAGCGAAAUGCGAUAAGUAAUGUGAAUUGCAGAAUUCAGUGAAUCAUCGAAUCUUUGAACGCACAUUGCGCCCGCCAGUAUUCUGGCGGGCAUGCCUGUUCGAGCGUCAUUACAACCCUCAGGCCCCCGGGCCUGGCGUUGGGGAUCGGCGGAAGCCCCCUGUGGGCACACGCCGUCCCUCAAAUACAGUGGCGGUCCCGCCGCAGCUUCCAUUGCGUAGUAGCUAACACCUCGCAACUGGAGAGCGGCGCGGCCAUGCCGUAAAACACCCAACUUCUGAAUGUUGACCUCGAAUCAGGUAGGAAUACCCGCUGAACUUAAGCAUAUCAAUAAGCGGAGGA
rnacentral:misc_RNA from 1 species